CUGUUCAUUUCUUACCUAUUUGUUUUUAUUGUUAGAAAGCAAAAGGGUAGAAUGCAGACAAGGGAGUAAUCCAGAAUAUGUUAAGGAGUGUAAAACAAGAGUGCUCGUUCUAAAGUUCAAAUCAAUUGCAAAAUCACCAUUGUUUUGCCAGAUGAGUGUGUUGCAAUAGGUACAAUUGCUUGACAUUGAGUGACAAGGAGGGGAAAGAGAGAGAAAAAGAGAGAGAGCCAAGGCAAUUGCCAAAAUGCCAUUCUCAAUAACAAGCUAAUGUUGUUUUACAGAAAGGUUAGGAGGGUUGAGGUUCACAACUGACGAUGUUAAGUGAAUGUGAUGAUAAAUAAUAAGAGAAGCCAAGAGUUAUGCAAGAUAGAGACGUUCGUCAACGAGGCCUGGUAUUUAGUGGGAAAUCCAUUUUGAAAAGCUUAGGAAACCCCAAGGAUUAAACUAAACAUAAGCCAUUUUUGUUGGCACUUCCACCUUAAUAAAAGAAAUCUAGUGUCUAUUGGAGAUGUGUUUCACUAACACUGGCCAUUUACAACUAGCUUUUUUUGACACUCAGUCUUUGGCAAGUGUUAGUGUGAAGACCCUACUUUGUCGGCAUUGAACUAAUACUGUUUUUUUUUACAGUUAGUGUUUCGGUUUCCCGUUGGUAGGUGGCGUAAAGGAUAUUUUUAUUUUUUUUAUUAUUUCCAUUUUUAGUUCAGAGGUGGCGUCAAGGAACUUUUUUAAGCUUCCUAUUGUUUCUGUUUGUCGUUCAUAGGUGGAAAGAAUGUUUUUCCAAAAUGGCUCACUUUGCGGUCCAUAGGUGGCGCAUUUGUUUUUUUUAAUGGUCCCGUUAAUUAGCGUGCGCGAAAUGUUUCGACUUCCCGUUCAUAGGUGGAAGACAAGUACGAACCAUGUCACACUGACUUGAGAGCAUAGUAAAGUGUUACUCAUGUCGCUUAUAUAACGAGUGGCACGUUAAUAAUCUUGUAAUGCCAAUGCUUUCUCCCUCAGCUCUUUGCUAUGAUCAUUGUGGGUUGGAUUAAAGAGCAAAAUCCACAGAGAAACUGAAAUUCAUUAUUGUCAUGUCAUUACAUCAUCCAUUGUUUUCAGAAAUAGGAGCAGUACAAUUGGCAGCCAUAAAGCUUUGUAGUUUCGAAGAAUUUUAGUUUUGUCUGGUGAGUGGUUUAUAAUGUUGCCCAUUCUAUUGUUAACUUUUUUUGUAGGUUAAUGCCAUAAAACAUUUAUUUUGAGACUUUGAGUACCGCCUAUCCUUAUAACAAUGGAACACUAAUGUUGACUACAUUGCAGAAACAAAAAUGAACAUAUGUGCAACAGGUAUUUUUUGUGAAAUGAAACGAAGUUUUUAUUGAUUUCAGAUUUGCUGUUAAAAUGUUUAUUGUUACCUUGCGAAAAAGUGUGCUCAUUCGUUAUAGUAUUCUAAAAAUAAUUCUGUAAUUGAUGAAUGCUAUGAAGGUGA